GUUGUCCGACUCUGUUGCCUCCGGGGCGACCCUGCCUUCGGGCGGGGGCUCCGGGUGGACACUUCAAACUCUUGCGUAACUUUGCAGUCUGAGUAAACUUAAUUAAUAAAUUAAAACUUUUAACAACGGAUCUCUUGGUUCUGGCAUCGAUGAAGAACGCAGCGAAAUGCGAUAAGUAAUGUGAAUUGCAGAAUUCAGUGAAUCAUCGAAUCUUUGAACGCACAUUGCGCCCCCUGGUAUUCCGGGGGGCAUGCCUGUUCGAGCGUCAUUUCACCACUCAAGCCUCGCUUGGUAUUGGGCAACGCGGUCCGCCGCGUGCCUCAAAUCGACCGGCUGGGUCUUCUGUCCCCUAAGCGUUGUGGAAACUAUUCGCUAAAGGAUGUUCGGGAGGCUACGCCGUAAAACAACCCCAUUUCUAAGGUUGACCUCGGAUCAGGUAGGGAUACCCGCUGAACUUAAGCAAU
rnacentral:rRNA from 1 species